AAAUAUUCCGGAACUACCUAUUCCACGUUAUUACGAUGGGGGGACGCAGGAGGCUAAGCAGGCCCACUAUUGGACGUGUGGGUGAAAGGCAUGUAGGGAGAUUCGCCAGGUAAAUCCGGUGGGUCGUUAAUCCUGAGGUGCCGAGACGAGACCGCUUUAGGUCAAAGCUGCUGACGCCACGCUGCCGAGAAAAGCCUCUAAGGAGUGGAGUGGGUACCCGUACCGCAAACCGACACAGGUAGGCGAGGAGAAAAUCCUCAGGCGCAAGUGUGAUCCCCCGUUUAGGAACUCGGCAAAUUGACCCCGUAACUUCGGAAGAAGGGGUGCUCCUGUCUGUUAUCCGACUUGCUCGGAGAAGCGUUCGGGAGUUGCAAUAAAGAGGCUCAGGCGACUGUUUACUAAAAACACAGGGCUCUGCUAAGUCGAAUACGACGUAUAGGGUCUGACGCCUGCCCGGUGCCGGAAGGUUAAAGGGAGAGGUUAGUCGCAAGGCGAAGCUUUGAACUGAAGCCCCGGUAAACGGCGGCCGUAACUAUAACGGUCCUAAGGUAGCGAAAUUCCUUGUCGGGUAAGUUCCGACCUGCACGAAUGGCGUAACGAUCUGAGCGCUGUCUCAACGGGGGGCACUGCGAAUUUGUGGUACCGGUGAAGACGCCGGUUGCCCGUCACAAGACGAAAAGACCCCGUGCACCUUUACUACAUCCUAGUAGUGAAUGCUGGCGCAGUAUGCGCAGGAUAGGUGGGAGGCUUUGAACCCAGGCUUUCGGGCUUGGGGGAGCCAACGGUGAGAUACCGCCCUUACUGCUCCGGCGUUCUAACCUCGAUCUGUUAUCCAGUUCAGGGACACUGCUAGGUGGGUAGUUUGACUGGGGCGGUCGCCUCCUAAAGAGUAACGGAGGCGCGCGAAGGUUCCCUCAGGCUGUUUGGAAAUCAGCCAUAGAGUGCAAAGGCAUAAGGGAGCUUGACUGCGAGACCUACAAGUCGAGCAGGUGGGAAACCAGGCCUUAGUGAUCCGGUGGUUCCGCAUGGAAGGGCCAUCGCUCAACGGAUAAAAGGUACGCCGGAUAACAGGCUGAUCUGAGCCAAGAGUUCACAUCGACGCUCAGGUUUGGCACCUCGAUGUCGGCUCAUCGCAUCCUGGAGCUGUAGCAGGUUCCAAGCUCCGGCUGUUCGCCGGUUAAAGCGGUACGUGAGCUGGGUUAGAACGUCGCGAGACAGUUCGGUCUCUAUCUGUGAUGGGCGCAGGAGAUUUGAGUGGGGCUGACCUUAGUACGAGAGGACCGGGUUGGACGAACCUCUAGUGUAUCGGUUGUCACGCCAGUGGCAGCGCCGAGUAGCUACGUUCGGAAGGGAGAAACGCUGAAUGCAUCUAAGCGUGAAACCCUCCACGAGAUGAGAUCUCCCAGGUCGAAGGACCUCUAAAGGCUCCUGGUAGACUACCAGGUUGAUAGGCCAGGUGUGGAAGCGCUGUGAGGCGUUAAGCUUACUGGUACUAAUGAGCCGUGAGGCUUGACC
rnacentral:rRNA from 1 species